rnacentral:tRNA from 1 species
GGGGCUAUAGCUCACUUGGUAGAGCGUCUCGUUCGCAAUGAGAAGGUCAGGGGUUCGAUUCCCCUUAGCUCCA